rnacentral:rRNA from 1 species
GAAACGACUGCUAAUACCGCAUAAUGCACCGAGAUCGCAUGGUCUUGAUGCCAAAGAUUUAUCGCUGUGAGAUGGCCUCGCGUCUGAUUAGCUAGUUGGUGAGGUAACGGCCCACCAAGGCGACGAUCAGUAGCCGGACUGAGAGGUUGAUCGGCCACAUUGGGACUGAGACACGGCCCAGACUCCUACGGGAGGCAGCAGUGGGGAAUAUUGGGCAAUGGGCGCAAGCCUGACCCAGCAACGCCGCGUGAAGGAAGAAGGCUCUCGGGUUGUAAACUUCUUUUAUUAGGGACGAUAAUGACGGUACCUAUUGAAUAAGCUCCGGCUAACUACGUGCCAGCAGCCGCGGUAAUACGUAGGGAGCAAGCGUUAUCCGGAUUUACUGGGUGUAAAGGGCGUGUAGGCGGGACUGCAAGUCAGAUGUGAAAACUAUGGGCUCAACUCAUAGCCUGCAUUUGAAACUGUAGUUCUUGAGUGCUGGAGAGGCAAAUGGAACUCCUAGUGUAGCGGUGAAAUGCGUAGAUAUUAGGAAGAACACCAGUGGCGAAGGCGAUUUGCUGGACAGUAACUGACGCUGAGGCGCGAAAGUGUGGGGAGCAAACAGGAUUAGAUACCCUGGUAGUCCACACCGUAAACGAUAAAUAGUAGGUGUGGGGGGUCUAACCCCCUCCGUGCC